rnacentral:tRNA from 1 species
CGAAGGGGCUCGCAGCAACGAACAGUGCUAUUUUUCGUUACCCUGGUUGGACUCCAGGGCCCAUUCGC